GUUGAGACUGGUGAGCAAGCCCCAGUCAUGUGGUGAGUGGCAGCUGCAAAUCUUUUCUGUUUGCAAUGAGAGAGGAGAAUGAGCCAGCUCUGACCCAGAGAACCAGGCCAGUCCCACACUCUGAGAUCUGCAAGGACAACUUCUCAUGUUAGGGUGCAUUUGAAAAAAGGUUUUUAAUUGACACAAUGUUUGUAUAAAAGGGCAAAUAAAGUGUGGAAUUUAUGCACACAAUGGAAUAUUAUUCAUCUACAAAAAAAAAGAAUGAAAUCCUGUUAUGUGUGGCAACAAGGAUGGAACUAGAGGAUAUUAUGUUAAGUAAAAUAAGCCAGGCACAGACAGACAAAUGCCAUGUGUUUUCACUCACUUACAAAAGCUGAAAAAGGUGGAUUUGGAGCUUGGGAAGGAGAAAGGAUUUCAUCCAGUUACUGGGUGGCAGCAUUUGACUAGAAUCCAGGUUUCCAGGUCUGCUGCAGCCUCCCCUCCCCCAGGCCACACAGACCACGGAGAUUAAAAGCACAGGCUUUGCAAUCAGUGUUCUGUGGCCUGCAGUCUGGUUCUGCAGCUUGGUGACCACAUAUUACUACCCAAUCCAUUUCAUCUCUCAGAAUCUCAGUCUCUUUGUCUCCAAAACGGGGGCAGCUGUAUCUGCCUCACAUAAUCCUUGGGAAGCACUUGGUAUAAUGCCUGGCACCUUGCAAAGACUCUGACACCAUUAGCACUCACGUGGUUACUAUUGUCUCCUGUCUAACUUCAGAAUAGGUAGGUUGGCUGAAUCCAAAUCUGAAAAUAGAAUGCUGAAUUUAUUUGGUGAGAUCUCAGACCUAAAUCUUCCCUUUUCAAUCCUCUGUACUCUUUCUACUGCUGUCACACAGCCACUUGUAGAUUUCUGAAAGGACAACUAACUUGACCAGAGUAACCCCACGGUGGCCUAGAAUUAGAAGAUCUUUAUAGUGUUUGGAGGAAGGGUUGCUCCUUGUACCAGGAUUCUGAUGAAUUUGAGGCUUCUUAAGAGUUAUUGAUAAUCCUGAGAGCAAAUCUGAGACCCUCGGUGAAGCAGGAUGGGGAACGCAAUUGACCCGUGAUGAUUCUGAAUCGGCAGUGCUCAGGGGUGGUUACUUGGAACCUAAAUUACUACUAUUCUAUCAAACUCUUGCUGAGGUUGGUCCUGUAGACAGGAUCUCAGAAAUACCACCAAGAGCUUGACUUCAAACACUAUUUAUCAAGCCCUGACGCUAGAUGGUUCUUCAUUUUUUAAAACUUUUUUCCACUUUAAAGCAAAGUCACACCAGGCAAAGCACCCCUCACCUCCUUUUGAAUUGACCUGAAAGAGGGGAAGGGUCUAAUAGUUUCUCCACUUGACAUUCAAUAUGAGUGUUGCCCUGUCUCUUGCCCGUCUGUCAACCAUGCCCUCUGUGCCUACACCAGACUCUGGCUGAGAGAUUCUAGUGUCCACCCAAAACAUAAGCAGUUGACAAAAGGUGAAUGUUUCUAUUUUUAGUUAUGCAGUUUUCUGUAUUGAUGAAACAGGCCCAUCCCACUUCCCUAAGAUCUAUGUGGACUGGUAUUUUAUGAAAGAAUCUGAAAGAAGGGGAAGCAGUUGGAGGAGGACGAGGAGAGCAAGAUGCACCUGGAGAGGGCGCAGGCCUGUGGUAGACGGGCAGGAGCCCUUGGCUGAAGACAGACAGCAGUGGGGGCACCAGGUUUCGCUGUUGGCCUACGAGAACCUUCUCAGGGCCCUAAAUAAAACUUUUUAACUUGAAAAACUUGGGCAGUAAUGAGUACCAGCUGUGUGGCAGAGCCGUGCUCCCAAUUCCAAAUAGUUUCCCUAGAAAGAAACAAUUGUGUCUGUCCCUGCCUCUUCCACUCUUUCAUCCCUGAGUAAAACACACCCAGGCCUGUUCUGUGGUUCUGGGAGGUAGAAUAGCUGCCUGGCCUUUGCAAGGUGGGUCUGGAGCAAGUUCAUGUGGCUUCUCCUGUCCCCAGAUUCCUGAAAUGGUCCUGCAUUCCACCUUAGUGGAAUCUCCUAACCCUCUCUGUUACAAACAUCCUUUAAAUCAAGGGUUGGAAAACCUGAGCCUGCUGACCAAAUCUGGGUGUUCACCUUUUUGCUUGUUGCUAUAAAUAAAUUGUUACUGGCACCAGCCACACCUAUUCAUUUACCCGCUGUUCAUGGCUGCUUUCACCCUCCAAGGGACGGUGAGCAGUUAUGACCCAGAGAGAAUCCAGAACCCGGUUUGGCAGACGCUCAGUGUGGGACUGAGACUUAGGUCAGUGUUCUACAAACGUUUUCUGUAAAGGACCAGGUAGUAAAUUUCUACAGUUUGUAGAACACUGACCUAAGCCAAGUGUAAAAUUGCUUGAGAUUUGUCCAUCUAUUGGUAUGAAGGCUUUGAUCCGUAUAGUUGGAGAAUUAACUUGUGUCUUCAGAGAUCACAGAGCCCAACCCAUUGUAGAUAAGAAACUGGGGCUCACAAAGUCAAGUCAUUUGCCUGGGAUUAGUUAAUAGUAGAACUGGGGUCAGGGUUGUGUCUAAUUAACUCCUGGACCAGAACCAUGUCUACUUUAGGAGCUGCCUCUCAACCAAGGGAGCUAACCCACUCAUCAAAUGAAGCAAAUUGACAGGCCUUUGUUUUCCAUGGUCAGUAUCUACGUACCCACACUGAACUGAUUUUCAGAGGUUUUAUUAAGAUGGUUUUUACUAUGUACUACCCAGAGAUACUCGAGUGUUUGCUAAAACUUUUUGUGUCUCGCCUGUGAGGAUUUGGUUGAGCAUUUGUAUCUGAUGAUUAACCCAGGAUAGAGCCAUAAAAAUUAAAAUAGAAAAGAGCUCUCUGCUCAUUUGAUUAAACCCUAUGAACAGUGGCAAGACCCUGCAAAGGGAUCUUAAUGGACUAUUAUACUUAUACACAAGAUAAAUUAUUUUAUAAACUAAGUUUUAAUUUAAUUUUUUCUAAUAAUCUCUCAAGGAUAAACUUCAACUCUGACUAAAUAGAGCAAAAGUUCUAAGAGGGCAAGUGACAGAUCUUUUGAAAUCUGUGCCUUCCCUCCAGCCUUUUGGAACUAGAAUAAUAAAGUAACACAGUGGAGUGAACUCACCAUGAACUGGAAUCUAUCUAAACCAAAGCCCUCAAAUAACUGGAACUGCUUUGGGCUCGCCCUCACCCUCACUCAACAGUUAGGAAAUAGAGCCUCAUAACAACCAAACAAGUGGGUGGAAAUUUAGUCUAAAAAUUGACAAAUCCACUUCUGGAAAGUGUCUCUGGAAUCAGUACAGACAUAGAAUGAGGAAGAUGAGUCAUUUCCUGGGAUCCCCGUGGUGUGUUAGGUACAUGCCUUUUGGGGGCCCCCCGGGAUUCCAGGAAGCACCAAAAGGAAAGGUGGAGUCACUAGUUGGAGCUAAAGAAGAAAGGAGGCUCAAGUUCUCACCACCAGCCCUGAAUCAAAUCACCCCCAGGCACCAGGGCUUGGCUCUCACCAUCCUGUUCCUUCAGCCUUUGUUUCAGUGCCCAGUCCCAACACUGAGCUUCUGCCAAACCGGGUUCUGGAUUCUCCCAAAGAGGCCAAGGGGAGUAGCCUGGCUGCUGCAGCUGCAAGGUCUAGGUUCAAAUGUGAGGUUUGCUCCUUAUCUGCUGUGUAACCUGGAGCAGAUUGUUCCCUCCUGUGUUAGAUGGGAAUCUCAACAGUGCCAAUCUGAUAGGAUUGCUAUGAGGUUUAAAGGAGUUAAUGCAGUUAAUUGAAGACACAGCCUAUUAUCCUGGCUUUUUGUACAUGCUGUUCCUUUAGCCUGGAGUGCCCUCAGGGUACUGCCCAGGUAGGAAAGGGAGUUUUCCUGACUCUCCCCACCCUGUCCAUCUGCUCUCAGACAAGACUGAAUUGUUUCCUGCCCCCAAGUUCCUGGGAAAUCCUUUGCAAUUCCAAGACAUUUCAUCUGCUUGACUGAUUCUCCUAUUAAUCUGGACUCCCUAAGAGCAAGAGUUUGGUCUGAGCAUCUUUGUAUCUAGUACCAUGUUUCCCGCAGACUAUCACUUAAGUUUAUUUUUAAAUGAAUGCAUAACGCAUGCGUGAAUUCAUGAAUAUGCAAAUUAGUAUAAGAAUAAAUUAAUAAGUAAUUAAUUUAUUACUUAUUAAAAAAAAAAGGGAAGUCCAAAUUUCUCUUCCGUGUCUUCCAUGUGUCUGGAUCCUCGGUCAUGUUCCUGACACUCAUCUGUCUGGCUUUGAGUGGAUUUGAAGAAAAAAAAAUAACCCUUCCAUGAUACUUCAUUCCCAUCUCUCAGAACAUUACCAUAAUACAUUGAUUGUGUUAGAAUAAGAAAAUUUCACUGUUGUCUUCUCCAAAAUUUUACUGAGGAAAAUGUAUAAAUCUAUUGUCUUUGUUUUUUUUUGUUGUUGUUGUUACUGUGCCAAAAAUAACUGACAUAAAUAAAUUAAAGGUGGAAAAGCUUA
rnacentral:lncRNA from 1 species